rnacentral:rRNA from 1 species
GAUGAACGCUGGCGGCGUGCCUAAUACAUGCAAGUCGAGCGAAUGGAUUAAGAGCUUGCUCUUAUGAAGUUAGCGGCGGACGGGUGAGUAACACGUGGGUAACCUGCCCAUAAGACUGGGAUAACUCCGGGAAACCGGGGCUAAUACCGGAUAACAUUUUGAACCGCAUGAUUCGAAAUUGAAAGGCGGCUUCGGCUGUCACUUAUGGAUGGACCCGCGUCGCAUUAGCUAGUUGGUGAGGUAACGGCUCACCAAGGCAACGAUGCGUAGCCGACCUGAGAGGGUGAUCGGCCACACUGGGACUGAGACACGGCCCAGACUCCUACGGGAGGCAGCAGUAGGGAAUCUUCCGCAAUGGACGAAAGUCUGACGGAGCAACGCCGCAUGAGUGAUGAAGGCUUUCGGGUCGUAAAACUCUGUUGUUAGGGAAGAACAAGUGCUAGUUGAAUAAGCUGACACCUUGACGGUACCUAACCAGAAAGCCACGGCUAACUACGUGCCAGCCGCCGCGGUAA